CAGUUUUAAUGCCCCGCCGUUAUCGAGAGGAAUCAAUGUUUGAACGGAACCUUUCCCAAAGCUUUUUUGACCCAUUAUAAUUGCCCGUUUAUUAUCCUUCAGCGCUCCGGUAACAAUUUCGGCCGCACUUGCCGAACCUCCGUUUAUAAGCACAAUCAUAUUUCCCGUCGGUUCGUUUCCGUCAUCGUGAGCUGUAAAUCUGGUUGUAUCGACUUUUUUUCUCCCUCUUAUGCUUACAAUUGUUCCUUUUGUCAAAAAUGCGUCCGAAACACUCACGGCUUGACUCAGUAAUCCUCCUGGAUUAUUUCUUA
rnacentral:ncRNA from 1 species